UAUAAUUUCUCUCCUAUCCAAUCCACCGCGAUGGCGACUGGUCCCCAUGAACUCGUCAAGUAUAUAGCAACUCUGGAGCUGGAACCUUCCCCAUUUAAGGGUUCUGAAUGCACUUUCUUGGUCUUCACAUCGCUCCAAAAGACACUAGAAGACAUUCUCCAAACUGCUCUUUCUUGAGCAACUAACAGUUCCAGUUUCACACCAGGAUGUUGCUGGGCUCGACACUUGUUGCGUGCCUGCAACGUGAAGCCUGGAGCACAACUGCAGAAAGAUAUUGAUGUACCUAUGCAAGUCGUUGAAUCAUUCGCGAGAACCCAGCCUGGAGGGCAAUAGCAGACUCCUCCUGUAGGAGAUGCUCGACAUUUGUAUCGACACAAUAAUGAAGUGCAUAUAACUGAUGCUGUAAACAAAGAAAGCAAACAGUUAUGGAGUCUCCAUUUUCAAUUAAAUCUUUAGUAUGUUUAGCAAAAAUCCAAUGAAGAGGUAGAGUUGUACCUGAUCUGAAGAUCCAUAUUUUAGCGUACCAAUUAAAACAGAAAAGGAAAUAGAUAUUUUUAUCCAAAAACUCAUUACAGUGUAACUCAUAAGUUUUACACAGAAUAACGCAGCACAUGUGAAAUUCUUUUUAUUGAUUCCAUUAAUUAUAUUAGAAAUAAGCAGA